AGGAUUAACGCUGGCGGCGUGCCUAACACAUGCAAGUCGAACGAGGUAGCAAUACCUAGUGGCAGACGGGUGAGUAACGCGUGGUCAACCUACCGUUGAGUGGGGGAUAACUAGCCGAAAGGUUAGCUAAUACCGCAUACGAGUCUCGGGGGCAUCCCUGGGCCUUAAAAGGAGCAAUCCGCUCGAUGACGGGACCGCGUCCCAUUAGCUAGAUGGUGGGGUAACGGCCUACCAUGGCACCGAUGGGUAGCUGGUUUGAGAGAGCGACCAGCCACACUGGGACUGAGAAACGGCCCAGACUCCUACGGGAGGCAGCAGUGAGGAAUUUUCCGCAAUGGGCGAAAGCCUGACGGAGCGACGCCGCGUGUGGGAAGAAGGCCUUCGGGUCGGUAAACCACUGUCGAAGGGGACGAUAAUGACGGUACCCUUGGAGGAAGCCCGGCUAACUACGUGCCAGCAGCCGC
rnacentral:rRNA from 1 species